GGAAAAUAAAAGGACUCACCUUUAGUCAUGUCACCUCUCAGUCUCACCUCGCACGCAACAGUGUCUCCCUCCUUUCCCCCUCUUCCAUCUGAAAGCCCUAAACAGUCCCAACUCCCUGUACCUCGCUGCCCAGCUCUCACUCGCUUCACAGAUCCCCCCUUUUUUUGGCCAAACAAUCCAUCCAUCGCCACCUGCAGCCCCUCCUAAAAAUAGCGGCAGCAGCAUGCCAUUGCAAAGCCUAUUCUAGCACAUGAAGGAGGUUUCUUGUUGGAGCAACAAGGGCUGGCCAGCUGCAGCAGGAGCAGCUCAGGUCCUCAGAUUAAUGGACCUGUGAGUAACAGCAACUACCACUACAUACUCAGCAGGGAUUCUCAAGCCAGCUUCUUCACCGCCCUCCCCAGCUGCUGUUGCUGCUGGCUGCAUCUUCUCCGCAGCCGGCCCUGAAACCGGCGCUGCUGCCGUCGCCGCGGCAACAGAAAUCAGCCGCCGCCGACACCGCCAAAGAUUGAUCCAUGGACCUGCCGCCCAACCCCGAGAGCCCAACUGCCCCGGGCGGCAGCGGCGGCGCCGGCGGAUCGGGCGGCGGUGGCGGCACGCCGCAGUCGACGACGCCAAGCCGGUACGAGGCACAGAAGAGGCGUGACUGGAACACGUUCGGGCAGUACCUGCGGAACCACCGCCCCCCGCUGAGCCUGGCGCAGUGCAGCGGCGCGCACGUGCUGGAGUUCCUGCGCUACCUGGACCAGUUCGGCAAAACCAAGGUGCACAUGCCGUCGUGCGCCUUCUUCGGCCACCCGAACCCGCCGGCGCCCUGCCCGUGCCCGCUGCGCCAGGCCUGGGGCAGCCUCGACGCGCUCGUCGGCCGCCUCCGCGCCGCAUUUGAGGAGCACGGCGGCCGCCCGGAGUCCAACCCUUUUGCGGCACGCGCGGUCCGCCUCUUCCUCCGCGAGGUCCGCGAGCACCAGGCCCGCGCGCGCGGCGUCAGCUACGAGAAGAAGAAGCGCAAGAAACCGGCGCCUGGCGGAGACGCAGGUACCAGUGGAAGCGGCAGCAGCCACCAGCCUCCACCCCCGCCGCCGCCUGCUGCCGGCGCGGUCUGCUGAGGAGGACGAGGACCUAGUACACCUACGUACGUGCGCACGUGCCCAUUUGGUUGGUAUGCCGGACUGAUGAGCAUAUUUUAUCUGUGGCUACCGCUGGCAAGACCGCUAGACCGCGGAUGGAUAAGAGGAAUGACCCACGAGCUCAAACUUCUACAUGCCGCAAGCCUGGCACCUGAUGGAUAAGCAUCAGCCAGCACCGCACCGCUCCAUCUAUUCUACCUUAUGUUUUCGGCUUGUUAUCGGGGAUGCUGGCCCUUGCUACUUUUUUUGUCGAAGUUGUAUGCCGCAACAUUUAUGUACUUGUUGUUAAACCUGAUAACUUUAUUAAUUUAAAGUCGGGCAGCAGCUGCCUUUUAUUAAAUAAAGUGCAUCACACACGAUUUGCACUUAAAACGUGUGUAAAAUUGUAAGC